GGGGGGGGGAGCCGGGGGAAGAGCCCUGGCUCCGAGGAACGCGUUUGGUUGUGUGGGGGGUUUUUUUUUUUGGUAUAUGUUUUCUUUCUUCCCCCCCCCCCGAUGACAACGCUGAGCUGCUCCCAGCUCCGGACGGCCCAAGGAUCUUUGGAGGGGACCUAAUAUCUGCUGUGUGCAGCUAAUGAAGAAGUCACGGGCGCUGCCGCGUGAUCUUUCGUCUGAAUGAAACACGGGAGGAGCCUGAGCAAGCGCAGUUUGCUGCUCUGUUCAUCAUACCCGUGACGUCGCAUGCAGACUGACGCCAGGGUCUUCAGCAAGGAUCAAACCUUUCAAGACCAAAAGCACGGGCCGACACCACUUCUGCUGCCGGCCGCCUCCAGCUGGCGAGCCCCCCGGGGUCUGCGGGACUUGGCCGGCAGAGGGAGGCACGAGCAGUUUGACAGCCCGGCAGGAGCUAACGGGAAGGUGUGCACUGAAUGCUGA
rnacentral:lncRNA from 1 species